AUGCUAGUAGCUCAGUCAGGUGAGCAAGGCUUUUAUGUCGCGACUAAGGCGUUGGUUCAAAUCCAACCUAGCACC
rnacentral:tRNA from 1 species